AGCACGGGAGCUUGCUCCUGGUGGCGAGCGGCGGACGGGUGAGGAACACGUGGGAAUCUACCUAUUGGUGGGGGAUAACUUGGGGAAACUCAAGGUAAUACCGCAUUAUCCCUACGGGGGAAAGCAGGGGACCUUCGGGCCUUGCGCCGAUAGAUGAGCCCGCGUCGGAUUAGCUAGUUGGUAGGGUAAAGGCCUACCAAGGCGACGAUCCGUAGCUGGUCUGAGAGGAUGAUCAGCCACACUGGGACUGAGACACGGCCCAGACUCCUACGGGAGGCAGCAGUGGGGAAUAUUGGACAAUGGGGGAAACCCUGAUCCAGCCAUGCCGCGUGUGUGAAGAAGGCCUUAGGGUUGUAAAGCACUUUCAGUGGGGAGGAAGGCUUCAGAUUAAUACUCUGGAGUACUUGACGUUACCCACAGAGGAAGCACCGGCUAAUUUCGUGCCAGCAGCCGCGGUAAUACGAAAGGUGCGAGCGUUAAUCGGAAUUACUGGGCGUAAAGCGCGCGUAGGCGGUUUGUUAAGUCUGAUGUGAAAGCCCCGGGCUCAACCUGGGAAUUGCAUCGGAUACUGGCAAGCUAGAAUGCGGUAGAGGGGGGUGGAAUUCCAGGUGUAGCGGUGAAAUGCGUAGAUAUCUGGGAGGAACACCAGUGGCGAAGGCGGCCCCCUGGACUGACAAUUGACGCUGAGUGCCGAAGCGUGGGGAUCAAACAGGAUUAGAUACCCCUGGGUAGUCCACGCCGUAAACCGAUGUCUACUAGCCG
rnacentral:rRNA from 1 species